UCGCGAAUCAUUUGAAGACCGGCAACAAAUUCAUUCGGAGCUUUUUUUGUUGCGAAAAAAAAUGUAUUGAAUUUAUCUUAAAUCAAUUGAUUGGUCAACAUUGGGUUUUUCUCAUUGAAUGUAACGAACAGUGAAAAUUAUCUUGAGGCCCAAUAAUAAUCUUGUAUCGUUUUCGAUCUUGAUAUUAGCUUUGUAUACUUUUCAAAGCGCGAUCCAGUCAUCUCUUUCGCUCUCUCCUGCUGUUGCUAUUAACUUUAGAUUGUCAAGACGAUACGAUUCGGUUUCUAAUUGUCAAGUGUUUUGUUUACUAGUUACUUGAAUCAAUACAUGUAAAUGUUUCAAAUCAUUUAUUUGAGCAAUAAAAACUUUUUUAAUCUUUGAUAAAUAAGAAUAUUAUUUAAUCAUCAGUACACGAGAAUCAAAAAAUAUCUCCGAAUGAUUUCAGCUGAAAACAGCUUUUGAAUCUGUCAACAGUUUGUAAACAAUGGAACAUUUUGGUGAAACGGCGACUGAAAAAAAUUCGACAUUUACAUGUCGAGAAUGAAUCCAAUUUACCUAUUUCUCAUUGUACAAUCACAUCUACACGGAUGAUGUUGGACUAAUGGAGAGAGUUAAUGUCUCUCAGUUUUUACCGAACCUCAAGUUUUUAACCCUAAGUCAGGAGCUGUAUGAAACAUGCACCUGUAAAAUGAUGGUCAAUGUU